rnacentral:lncRNA from 1 species
UCAUUAGUUAUGAGUUGCAUGUGUAUCUAAUGAAUGCUUAGAGUUUCAGAAUCCGCAAUUUUUAUUAUACAGUUAUUUUCUUUUCCUUUUUUUUUCUUUCUUUUUUUUUUUUUUUUUUUGGUUUUUCGAAACAGGGUUUCUCUGUGUAGUCCUGGCUGUCCUGGAACUCACUCUGUAGACCAGGCUGGCCUCGAACUCAGAGAUCCACCUGCCUCUGCCUCCCAAGUGCUGGGAUUAAAGGCGUGCGCCACCACCGCCCAGCCAUUAUUUUAUUCUCUGAGACAGGGCCUGGCUGUGUAGCCCAGGCUAGCCUUGAACUUCUUAUGGUAACUCUUGUCUCAGCUUCCCAGCUGCUGGGAAUACCACAUACCCUGCUUUAAAUGUUUUACUUUAAAAUGUGCCAAAGGUGCCUCUUGGUCUAAAAAUCUUGAUAUUAAAUGUUAUUGCCAAUAUUAAAAAUAAGCGUUCAUUAUAAAUUGUACUUGAAAUAUAUGACAUUUUGGGGUGAUGUAAAUAAAAGUAGAGCUCAACCCUUAGUAGUGCAGCACGUCCCUGAGACCAGUUCUAAGAGACGCUGAAAUAUUGGGUUUAAAUGAAGAAUCAAGAAGAGGCUGUUGGCUGGAAUGUUAGAUGAAACAAAUCUUUUAAAAUCAACAUGGGGUAGGGAAAGAGAAAUCAUAGGUACCCAGGCAAAUCCCUGAGCCAGUAAGGCCCUGUAGAGUAAUAAUGAAUUGUUACCUUAAAAUCUUAUCACUAACUUUAUUAGUAUUAUUAAUUAUUACGUUGGUUCCUACUGCUGGGAAGCUGUUCACAUCGCUCCUUAUACAGGAGCCAGCAAGCUGUAGGCUUUCUUCAGCCUUGCUCUUCCCAGCUCUGGAGAGUCCCUCCCUGACCUGGUGGUUAUAAUACAGCAGGCGGCCUUGGUUAAUGUUUACCUUUUCAUUGUGUUUUUGAAAACUACAAAUCAAGUAUUUAGUAGUAGCUAUUUACAAAUGUGUUUGCAUUCGAGUGCUUGUAGAUACAACUUUACAUGUAAACAUGUGUAACAUUAUUUAGCUACAUUGAGUUUGUAAGUGCCUUUACCUAAAUGAUUUGCCUUUCAUCAAAAAGUAGACAUUCUAUUAUAAGUAUUGCUCUUUGUUUAGUGCAAAAUACGGAGUUCUUAAGUUAGACUGGGCAUGUAACACAGUGAAGGUGCUGUGUAGGCUUUUAGGCGGCAUGACCUUUAGCGCAUAGUUCUAUGCCAGUGCUUAAAUAGAAGUGUUUAUUUAUCCUUCACUAGUUAUACAUUAGGCAUAUAAUGUUAUGUGACAUUAACUCAGUAAUGUGUGGUUUUAUAUUUCUGACAUAGUGUGAUCUUUUUAAUAGUACCGUAGGUAUCGUGUCCUUUGUGAUCUUCCAUUUAGCCCUUAGUGUGGGAAAGAAAGUAUAUGGUAAAUUGUUGGCAAUAGCUAUAUGAUGCGUAUUUGACUUGAGGGAGAAAGACUGCUCCUGAGAGGUUCCUCUGCCCACAACAGAUGUAGGAAAUCUUCAUCAUGCUGUGCCAGGAAGAUCAGAGCCCUCCAGAAUCAAGGAUGGAGCCCUACCACUACCACCCCACCCCCCAGUCAAACGGUGUAUCUUUUACCUAGAAUUUUAUUUAAAAUGUAUUUGCUACCACAAAGGAUAAGAGAAGUUCCAUCCUCUUAUGAAAACAUUGUUACUGAGGUCUAGCGAGUUUCAGCAACAGUUUUCCUAUAGGUUGAAAAGGGGGUCGUUUAAUAGGAAUAAAAACCUCCAUUCUUUUUAUAUUUUUUGUGAUCUGUAUUUACAAAGGAUUGAAGUAAGCAUUCCACUAACUCACAGAGUUGAACAUUUAGAAGGCAGUUUUAUGGUUGCUGUCAGGCUUUUACUUUAGUCAGUCUCAAUGAGUGACAUAAUAUGCAGUCUCAUGUAUGUAUUGAAUUUAGUGGCUUAAUGAAGGCUAUUUACAUGCAGAAAGCUAUCUGCAUUCAUCAUAAUAUACUUGAUUCUUUCAGCCAUAAAUAAAUUGAAUAUAACUGUAUUAUUUAAAACUCUAGCUGGAGGAGUCUUAGAUGAGUUGGCAUUGCUGUUUGCUGGCAUUGGAGCAGUAGCUAAGUUGGUUGGUUUUGUGUACGAGGAUGGUUAAGAGAGUCACUGAGCACAGUUUACAUGGUCAGCACUGCUGUUGUGAGAAACAGUGUUAACUCACUUGUCACUUUCUGUCAUGUCUAGACUUGUGUUGAGAUGUGUCACAUUCUCAGCCUACUUUGUGUGAUAAGCAAAAACAUAAUGGGAAAAGCUUUUUAAAUAACAGGUCUUAGCUUUUUAAAAUUGGGGGUUUCAAAAACAACAAGAGAUGCUGAAAAGAUGUUACCUUUUACUUUGGUCAGAUCAUUACGUAUGCUCUGACAUCUUAAUUUUCUAUACUUAAAGUCUGUAUUAGAAAUAUCUGUAUAAGUAUAUACAUAAUUAAAAUGUAGCUCAGAAAUAUGAUUCAACAGUGGAGUUUUUUUUUUCUGGAAAAAAUAUAGUCCUAUUGUAUCAGAUUUAUUUUACUUUAUUAUGGCUAAUAUUCUAAAAAGAAUGUUUAAGCUAUUUUAAAUUCUUGUGCCUCUUCCCCCAAAGGAUAUUUAAAAAUAUGAUCUUAUAUUAACUUUAUAUUCUUUCUUCAUAAAUUUUGCCUUAAACAUUGUGCCUUGUUUUAUUAGAAUCUAAUUCUGGCUUUUGUAACAACAUUUUAUUUUAAACAGACAUUUACUUUUAAAAAAUCCUUAUAAUGCUUGUAUUUGCUAUAUCACUGCUUAUCUGUUUAUUGAAUUUAUUGAAUACACAACUCCAAACACU